rnacentral:rRNA from 1 species
CCCCUAGAUGUUCUGGGCCGCACGCGCGCUACACUGAACAGUUCAACAAGUCUUAACCUUGGCCGAUAGGUCUGGGUAAUCUUUGAACGCUGUUCGUGAUAGGGAUAGACUAUUGCAAUUAUUGGUCUUCAACGAGGAAUUCCUAGUAGACGUAGUUCAUCAGACUGCAUCGAUUACGUCCCUGCCCUUUGUACACACCGCCCGUCGCUCCUACCGAUUGAAUGCUCAGGUGAGCCAUUCGGACCUUCAUCAUGCCGGUUUCCGGUUUUGAUGAGGGAAAGUCUUGCGAACCUUAUCAUUUAGAGGAAGGAGAAGUCGUAACA